AAAAGUUUGGUCCUAACUUUACUACCAAUUAUACCCCAACUUACACAUUGCAAGUUUCAGCACACCCGUGAGGAUGCCCUUCCCACUAAGCCAGAAGAAGGAGUAGGUAUCAGGCACAGAUUCUAGCCUAAGACACCUAGCACCGCCACACCCAUAAGGGCAUGCAGCAGUGAUUAACAUUACUAAUAAGCGUCAGCUUGAACUAGUUAGGGGUAUACGAGCCGGCCAACUUGUGUGCCAGCCGCCGCGGCUAAACCAGGGGCUCAAAUUGACAGUCUUCGGCGUCAAGUGUGAUAUUAAGACCAUACCCAUUAUUAGAGUUGAUCAAAGAUUCAGUAGUGACAAGCUCAUCUUAACGAAAACACACGCAAAAGCCACUCUAAUUAUUACUUAAUGCACGACAGCCUAGACACAAACUGGGAUUAGAUACCCCACUAUGCUAGGCCAUAAACUUGAAUUACACCUUCCAACGCCAGGGAAUUACGAGCCAUGCUUAAAACCCAAAGGACUUGACGGUAACCCAUCCACCUAGAGGAGCCUGUUCUACAACCGAUAGUCCCCGUUUCACCUCACCCCCACUAGAUACCCUAGCCUGUAUACCUCCGUCGCAAGCUUACUGUCUGAACAUAAAAUAGUGAGCUCAAUUAACCAACCUUAAAUACGUCAGGUCAAGGUGCAGCCCAUGUGGGGGGAGCAAUGGGCUACAAUUUCUAAUUAGAACAAACUAGCAGUCGCAUGAAACUGUGACCCAAAGGCGGAUUUAGUAGUAAGAGCGGAACAGAGAUGCUCUCUUAACAUGGACCUGGGCUAUGUACAAACCGCCCGUCACCCUCUUCAAAGACUACAUGCCUUAUAUUUAAUAUAAACUUCCACUUAAGAAGAGGCAAGUCGUAACAUGGUAAGUGUACUGGAAAGUGCACUUUGAAAA
rnacentral:ncRNA from 1 species